rnacentral:lncRNA from 1 species
GACUUCAGACCAGCAUGAAUUCAGACGGGGAUGAAUGUAAACAGAAAUACAUUUCAGACCGGUCUCGGCUGUAAACUUGACAUUGGAACAACACAUGCUAACAAAAGCCAUCUGAAAAAGAAAAUUGCCCUGGCAAGGGAAAUAAGUUGAAAAUUUUGUGAUUUUCGUCCCGGUCUCAUGUAAACGGGGCCUAAACCUUUUUUUCAAAAAACUGGCAUCGUUUGUCUUGGGGUUAGGGGGUACAAAUGGUACCCAUAGCUUAGAGGGUGCAAAUGGUACCCGUAAGAAGACUUGGUGGAAAUCACGUUGGUCGUUUGGAUCGGCGAGAAUAAGACAAUUAUGGCGGCAAAGUUUUUUUAAACAUUUUCUCUCCCGUAGUAAGGUAAAGCAUGUAUUUUCCUGGUAGCCGGUCUUACUUCAUGAAAAAAUAGUCCGCUACCAGUGACUAGGUCCCCUCUCUUAUGGCGGUUAUUCCGGCUCAAUAUCUUCGGGGAUAUUCCUUUUCAGGGCGGUUGCAUGCGGAUAAUAUGGUCCGUCGCGUGCGCAAAAUAGUUAGGGAGUUAGACAGUUUAGAAGCGUCCAAACUGCGCAAUAUACGACACUCACAUGAAACGUAAAAUACUUUAUAAUAAUUCACAAAAUUGCGAAAACAAAAAAUUGACAAUUUUGCAAUUUGAAUUGUGCGUUUCUGGCAAAUGCCUUUAGAUUCAAGUUGUAACGACAAUUUACAAGCGCAUUAAGUGUAAAUACGGCAUUAUUUCUAAUGAAAAGACCGCCAGGGUUAGAGUGUUUUUAUGUGGUUUGUUAAGGAGCAAACUCGCUUUUAAAAAAAAGAAAUGUGUAUUAAUUUCGAUCCAGAUUUGUUCCUGAACAUUGUCGCCAUGAAAACACUCUGUAGAGCAAGCUCAGCGACGUACGGUCAUAAUAGCGUCGUCGGAAGUUUGCAUUCAGCAUUUUCGUUCAAAAUUGAACGUACAUUAUGUUAAUAAGUUGCUAUGCUAGGGUUGCGUACAAUCUGUACCCACACGAUGUGUAGCAAUUCUAAAGGAAUAACUAAUACGUAUAAAUAGGGUGUGCGCACGAAGUUUUUUUCGCAGGCCUUAAUAACUUCGGGGAAAAUAAUAAAAAAGCAGUGUCCGUGGUCGGGGCUGAAUAGUACUGUGGAAGAUUGGGUUGGAAAAUUUGUAAUUAAGAUCUGUAUUUUUGGGCAAUUGUUACUUUUUGAAAAAUAGUAUCUCAAGGGUUUGGCAACAAUGAUGUCCGAAGAGUAUGUUGGCC